AACGAACGCUGGCGGUAUGCUUUACACAUGCAAGUCGAACGGGUAAGAGCCGUAGCAAUACGGAAUUCUGCUAGUGGCAAACGGUUGAGUAACGCGUGGGAACCUACCUUAUAGUACGGAAUAGCCCUGGGAAACUGGGAUUAAUACCGUAUACGCUCUACGGAGGAAAGAUUUAUCGCUAUAAGAUGGGCCCGAGUUAGAUUAGCUAGUUGGUGAGGUAAUGGCUCACCAAGGCGACGAUCUAUAGCUGGUUUGAGAGGAUGAUCAGCCACACUGGAACUAAGAAACGGUCCAGACUUCUACGGGAGGCAGCAGUGGGGAAUAUUGGACAAUGGGCGAAAGCCUGAUCCAGCAAUACCGCGUGAGUGAUGAAGGCCUUAGGGUUGUAAAACUCUUUUAGUGGGGAAGAUAAUGACGGUACCCACAGAAAAAGCACCGGCUAACUCCGUGCCAGCCGCCGCCGUAA
rnacentral:rRNA from 1 species